UACAGCCGAGAAAAAAGAAAGAAAAUCAGCCCUCGCACGACCCUGCCUCCCAAUCCCCGUCUCCACCUCCUGCCUCGCGCGCCGUCGUGCGCCGACACCGCCCACCACGCCGGCACGCCUACCCCUGCACGACCGGCUACACGCUGAUGACGCUCGAGUGCACCUUCUUGAUCAAGGCAACGCGACGGCUCGAGCGGUUGGGGGCAGCACGGCGGCUCGAUGCGGAAUGGCGGCGGUGGCGGCUGGAGCUUGCAGGGGUUGGGGAGGCUGAUUCGAAGGCGGACGGCGAGGCGGGGGAACGGUGAGGAAGGCCGGAGCGAGGGAUCCGGCGACCUAGGCAGGAGCUCGCCGGAGCCGGGCGCGCAAGGCAGAGGGAUCCGAUGCGGCGGUUCGAAGUUCUUGCAGGCAAAGGCAGACCUCCAUGGCUGGCAGGGGGGCUCCAAGGCCAUGGCGGGGCUUCGGUUUUCCCUGGUAUAGAAAAGAGAAAUAGAAGAGGAUUCAGGGAAAAGAAGAACGGGGAUUCAGGGAGAAUAAGAACGGUGGAAGAAGGAUGGCUGGCCUCCUCGGCGCAUGCCAUAUGAUCUAAAGGUUCAUAUCAGACAAGGCAACCACAAUAGUACGGCCAUGAUAAUCUCAUGGGUGACAACAGUCAGAACCUGGAUCGAGCACUGUGUUUUACGGGACUUCAGAAGAUAAUCUCAAUUGUUCUGCAAAGGGAAAGCAUUCACGGUAUACGUUCUACAAAUAUACCUCGGGAUACAUUCGUCAUUGUACAAUCAAGAACCUGAAGUUUGACACAAAGUAUUACUAAGCCGUUGGAACUGAAGAGAAGCUGAAAAGAUUUGGUUUAGGACCCCUCCGAAAAGUGGCCCAGAUGUUCCAUAUACAUUUGGUUUGAUAGGUGAUCUCGGUCAGAGCUUCGACUCCAAUGUCACGCUCGCUCAUUAUGAGUCCAAAUAGUAUGAUGUAAUCCUCUAAGCAUGGUUGACAUACUUGCUUUGUCAUAUUUACUAUCAUAAAUUUCUUUCAAUGGGAUCUCUGGAAAUACUGUUUUCUAUGUGUUUCCAUUGGUGACUGAAUAAUUUGUCACUCUUUCAAUGGGAUAUAUUUGUUGCUAAUGGUCAUUUAUAAAGAUUUAUAAAGCAUCCAUCUGUGAAUGAA